rnacentral:rRNA from 1 species
GGUUUACCGCCGUUGGGAUAGGCUUGCGUCUGAUUAGCUAGUUGGUGUGGUAACGGCACACCAAGGCUACGAUCAGUAACUGGUCUGAGAGGAUGAUCAGUCACACUGGAACUGAGACACGGUCCAGACUCCUACGGGAGGCAGCAGUGAGGAAUAUUGGGCAAUGCUCGAAAGAGUGACCCAGCAACGCCGCGUGGAGGAUGAAGGUAUUCUAUAUCGUAAACUCCUGUGAGAGCAGACGAAAGACAGAUUAUUAAUCUGGAUGACUGUAUGCUCAGAGGAAGCCCCGGCUAACUACGUG